rnacentral:tRNA from 1 species
GCCGAAGUGGUGGAACUGGUAGACGCGCUGCGUUCAGGGCGCAGUGGGCGCAAGCCCGUGUGGGUUCGAGUCCCACCUUCGGCA